rnacentral:ribozyme from 1 species
ACAAAUUUGAACGAGCCGUUAACACUGAGCAAUGUCCCAAAUUUGAUCCGUUCUUUUUCUUGCGAUGUAUUUUUGCUAUUCUUCUUAUUUUUAUACUUGUUUCUUCGCCUGCUGUUUUGUGUGUUUAGUA